rnacentral:SRP_RNA from 1 species
UGCCAAGCACAGGUUAACAAGUUGUUACCCAACUCCGUGAGGUCCGGAAGGAAGCAGCGGUUAGUAUUCAAUUUGUGUAAUUUGCUGCUUGGCUUUU